GCUAUGAAAAUGAGUUGGAGGCAGAGAGGAUUAAGUAGAGGCUGAAAAUCUCUAAUUAUUCUUAGAGAAUGCACAUACACACAUUCACGCACAUUUCUAAUACAAGCACACUACACACAAGAAGACCAAUACAAACACGAAGACAUAAACAGAGGAUUUAAGUAACCUGCAGACAAACGAAUAUGUAGAGGAUAAAUGGGGAGCCGUUUGUGUGGACUUGAGGAAGACUAUCAGUGUUAUUGACUGAGACAUCCAUCAGCUUCCAUUCAUCACCACGUCUGUCUCUCAUUUUUCUCGCUUCUCUGUAGUUUAAUCGGAAAAUAGUGACUCAGAAGAAAGUGUUUUGAGCUCUGGUGAGCGAUACAAUGGGCCACUUUGAAAUUAAAUAUUUAAUCUGUAAUGAUCUGUUCAAAUGCAAAAUUCACUGCAUAACUGCGAAAAGCUGUGCCUUCCACCCCACUGAGGAUUUAUUCUUAAAAGCACAGUCUGACUGACUCCUGUCAGCCACUGCAUGCCCUGCUGACACCGGGUGAUCCUUCUUCUCUUUGCUAACAUGAAACUGAGAAAACCAACUUCCUGUACUGGAUCAGGACUACAAGUAGUGGGAGAUGCACACAAACACACACAUUUACCGAAUACCCAGUGGAGGACUCCUGUCCAGCAUGGCCCUCUCAACACUGCUAUAAAUCAGACAGCUUUCAGAGACUCACCACCUGGCAAACAACUGAUAGGGAAAGAAAAAAGGAGCCGGACCCAAAAGAGCAAAUGCAACAAUAGAUCGGGUCCAAUGAAACAAUAGAGACAAGGAAAGAGGAGGGAGGACGGAAAGGGCAACAACGGGAGACAGAUAAAAGCCAAAGUACACCAGGUGCAUCUCCGCUGCUAAAAGGGGAGGACAGCUCAAUUUCGGAAUUUACAUCUUAUUCCCUCACAACCAUCUCAGUUCAUAUUAUUGUGCGGUUUCAGAAAAUAAUGCUGCGGUGUGUCUGUGUUAUCCCCAGAAAAAUCAUAAUCUUGAUUGACUGAUCCCCUCGAAGAAAGUCUUAUGACUUAUGAAUCCAACCAGAACUCAGGUCCUCGGAUUGAAGGGUGGUCUUCCCGCCCAUUUCUCGAUACCCUCGCCGUGACACCUAAACUAUAGUCAUAUUUUACAAGGGUCGCUCCUCUUUUGCCUCUGGCCAUGGCUGCUGUUUUACUGACUGCACUAUCAUAAUGGAAAUGCCGCAUUCAGGCUCUGCAGAGGCGCUCCCCUGCAACCGACACAGACAGAGCUGCUCUCGCGGAUUCAUGUUUAGUCAAAGUCUAAUUAUGACGGGCACCUUCAAUUUGGCGCUGUACGGGAAAUACACAGGGUUAUUAAUUUUAAGAUCAAAACCACAAGGCUGCCUUACAUGAAAAUCCUUCCCCAUAAAUCUCCCCAAAGCUCCAACACGGUACACUUGCAGGUAAUGCAGAUCACAUUUAGUCUCUGCUCUCCUAACAGAGUGACUUCAAAGCCUUUCCUGGGAGGAGGGCUAACAGUAUAAUUAAAUCUAGACAGACGAUAGGAGAGCAAACGCCUGCUAAAUGGCCAUCUUAUCUUCUCUGGCCUGACAAACUGUCAAACCCUCUCCUCCAUUUGUACAUAAUAGGACGGUGGAGGCAAUGACAACACAAUGAUAGGUAAUUGUGAGGAGGUGGGAGCUUAGAUGUGGAAAAUGUCAGGAGCGACAAGUGAGGUGAGAUCGAUGGAUGAAGUCCCCGGUUUGUUUAAAGCAGUGAGAAGCUGGAAAUGUGAGGGAACUUUCCACGUUGGGUGAACAGACUUGAAUUUCAUUAGGAAAUAUUCUAAAAUUUUAAAUUUCAAACUUAUCAAAGUCGUAUAUUUCUUUGAAAUCGAAAGCUUACCUAGUCACAUCUUAAACUUCUGGCUAACAGGCUGAUCAUGUGUUAGAAACACAUGCCUUCUCUUACAACGGCAGAAUAACGACUUUCCACGCCCCAAAUAUGAUACAAUCUUUUAUUGGAAUUGACACAUUCGUGCGUCAUGUUGUGCCUUCUACCCUCAAAGUUUUAUUUUAUUUAACCAUAAAAUCAAUUUUUUUCGCUAAUAAUGCAAUUUACAAAGUGAUAUCUAUCUAACGUCUGCUCACAUCAGCCACUGUGUGCUUGUUGCAGCAAACACCAGAGUGUAUUACAUUGAGCAAUGAUGUAUUUUAUUGCUUCUGAACUCCAUUUUCAUUAAUAGCAGGAAAUAGUUCCAUAGAAUUGCUUUAACGCCCCUGAACACCUAUAGAACACCCACAUGGGGGAUUUCAACAAAGGGCUCUUCUUUGUGGGUGGGUACUGUAAAGGCUGUACUUGAUUGAUAGCUCCGUCACCCUCCUGCGUGUCUCAGCCACAUAUUUUUCUUGAUAAUACGCCUUCCUGGCAGAGGCUUGCAGCUCAUAGAACCCUGUUCUAGUGAGGCGCCAACCAUCACCUGGCAUUUUGUGAGCAGAUUAUGACUAUAAAAAUCUCUCUACAGCUGAAGGUUUUUCAUAUCCCAACUGUCAUGAGCAGCUUGUACUUCAGUCCUAAUAAGUCAUUUUACUGUUAAUACAAAAAAUUAAAGCAAACUAUGGGAUGGAUUAGAACACUAUCGUUGUGAUGUAAUGCUCUGCAAAGCUCCAAUGACUUUAAAACUUUAAUCAGCAAUUUUCAGUUUUCCUAUAUUAUCCAUACUUUAUAUAAAAACUGUUAUUGUGCGUUUGUUAAUGAUAACUAAAUGUAUAAACUAGAUGAAUUUGGACCAGGGUUGUGAAGGGGGGUGGGGGCACCACCCCUACUUCCGGCACUCUUGCUCAGUGCACACCCAUCUUUGAAUGUGGCCUUCAUUUUGAUCUCAUCUACACACCAACAGACACGACUUGACAGCUUGUAAUUAUCGCCGGGAACUCUGUCUCUGAACUCUGUGCUGCACUCAAAACGCAGUCGGCGGGGGUUGAUGGACGACGGAGCAAAACCGUAGCGGAGCCGCUCCGCAACGUACAUGCGACCAGUGGAAUUCCCUGGACGAUCGAUUCCAGGCACGUCUCGGGUGCUCAGACGAGCCUCUGCAAGCAAAAGAGAUUGUGGAUGAGAAAAAGAUGGAAGGGGGGACGGAGGAUAAUGGUUACAGCAGAGGGGAAAAAGAAAGCCGGAGAGGAAGAGCAAUAUGGUAGCGUCGUGUGACAAGAUCUGACAGUUCUUAUACUGUUACCCCUCAUCUUAUUAGGUCACUGUGUGUGUGCGUACUUGCCAACCUAUCUAACAGUGGACCUUGGCGUCAU